rnacentral:lncRNA from 1 species
CGCGUCUGUCCCGCGGAAUGCGAGGAGCGCGGGGGACGGGGGGCGCUUAAUCGUGGAAGGAAGCGAGGCGGGAGAGGCGCUGAGCCGCAGUCACCGCCAUCUCACCGGUGCCUGAGUGUUUCGAUACGUGUCAGUUCAGUGAGUGGGAAAACGCCGGUCUUGGUCAGCGUCUUCAUCAAUGACCUGGAAUAAGGGGUCUGUGACCACAGCCUUCCCAAGCACAGGCUGCUAAAGAGCUCUCACUUGGACGAGACUGCACAGCUCACAGAAGCUCCUCUCUAAUACCCGGAGGCAGGACCCAGACAUGGUAGAAGUCACCCCAUAGCCCCUGAGAUGAGUGUUUGGGCACGUGCUCUGAGAAAUCUCUCUUUGGGACAACCGCAGAAGAGAAAUGGCAAAGGCUUCAGAAAUAACGACCAGGGACUGGCGCUGGCCCCGUGUGGUGCCUCCACAGGGAAAAUUAGUGGCAAGCCAGCAUCUCGGCCAGCACUCGCCAGCCUUCUCUUUACAUGCCUGUACCCUUCAUCCAGACAGACAUCCUGAAAGCGUCUUCAGGAUAUCUUUUCAGUGGAGCUCUGUGAAUUCAGACUGCUCUUCCAAGCAGGCUUUCAGAGCGCAUCUCCACCUCCAGAAAAAGCCACCUUGAAUCUCUUGACUCUUCCUUUGUCAGAUCACUUUGGAUUUCCCAGUUCACAGAAGAGACACACACACGUUCCAGUCAGAAACACAACCUCAGCUCGAUAACCUACUCCAGCACACUGCAAACACUCUACUUUUGAUAUUUUUCUCAUUUCUGUGUUUGACUAAUGGCUCUCAAUUCAGCACGCUUCUACAGUACUUGACACCAAGACCCAGGAAAGCUGCUGAAGUAUACACGUGUAACUCAUCCGUCUUGCAAAGAAAAAGAAUGGUAACGUUGUAUUGCAAACAGCAGCCCUGGAAAAUCCCUAACAAUUUUUCUUAGCUACAGAGAACACACAAAUGUCCUAAUAACUACAACCUGCUUCUUAACCAACAAGAAGGGGGCUGUCUAAUGCAGUCUUUCCAUGACAGAGGGAAAGAACAAAACAGUACCUGAAACCCACUGACUUUAGAGACUUCCAUCUGAGGACUGCCCCUGGAGAAAGAAGACAGGUAUGCAGAGCUUGAGCUGAAAGCUACAGAGCUUACAGUCUUCAGAUUUUGCGGGGCAUUACACCUAGGCAGGUGUGUGUUUUAUACUUUGGCUAGCCACGAGUGACACAAGUAUUUUAUAUUUCCCUGCCCUUUUCUGUAGACUGCUUUGCAAGUCGCCUGUCUUGUACCCCACCUAUCCCAGGGCUUCUCUGCUCAAAGCCAAGACACCUGCACCUUGCAGUGCACACUACCCGUAGCAAGUUGACUGCUGCUCUUCCAAAUAAGUAAAUACGAAGUGAAUGAAGUCCAAGGGAAUAUUCUGAUUGGCAGUGGCUGUUCUGUCCGUCUUAGCCUAGAUCAGUUUGACAUAAGCCAUUUAUUUCAUGGUUAACCCCAGAAAAGUCCUGCAAGGAAUAGAAAUGCAUGCAUUAAUCCUGCUUACCGGUUUGGUUCCACCUUGGGCUGGAUGAAGGAGCCGCUGCAACCCAAACUCAAAUUUAUUGCUCCAAAUACUGUAAAGAAAACAACACUCCCUUGUGAUCCUCACACAAACUCUUUAUUACGGAGGGAAGAAAGAGACAACACUGUAAAGAGCUGAGCACUACAACGAAACAUAAAGCAGCAUUAAAGUUGCUCUGUGCCUAAUGCUGUGGUUUAAGCAGCUAAUCUUGUUUUGGUUGAAUGGCAUGUUCAUUACAGCAAAUAAAUCAGCAACGUGUGGGAUUAUUGAAGAGGAAAGACAUAUUAAACCAGUUUAGGGCAUCAUAUUGAUUUUUUUUUUUUCCAAGUGUCUGAUUUAGCUUGGCGUUUUUCAACAGUCAGUUCUAAUAAAUGCUUGUAGAGCACAGAUUAAGCAGGUGGGAAUGCUGCCCAGAAAGAGUAUUAUGAAUAACUUAAG